rnacentral:tRNA from 1 species
GAAUAAAAAGCUAUAUGAGCGUUUAGUUUCGACCUAAAAAUAAUUGAUAAGUUAUUAUCUUUAUUC